GGGUCACGUUCGCUGGUCUUACAUAUCAUGUUUGACGUAGUCUACUGCCCCCGAAGUUAAUAGUCACCAUGCCAAUUGUUAUUAUUCCAAGGAGUUAGUAUUCAACAGAAUGUUUUUUACUCAGUUUUUAAAGACAUUUUUCGUUUUACAAGCUACACUGCUUGCCCAGGAUUUCCCAAUCACGUGGGAGGUCCUGUCCUCUCUCUGUAACCAGGUCCUGAUGCUGCGGUGUAAUGACGGGUAUGUUGCCGACGGAGACGAGAGAUUGUGUGGAUCAGACGGGCAGACCUACCUUAACUUGGCCGAUGUCGGAAGCCGGACAUUACGAUGGAAUACUUUGGGCCCUGUUUAAAUUCGUCCACGGUGGAACUGCCUGACCCCGUGUCCUCUACCUCUCCCCCGCGUACCACCACACAAGACAUCAUCGUCCAAGUCUUCUGUUCUCAGGCCACCAUUGAUACGUGCCCUAUAACUUUGGACCCUCUGUGUGGCACAGAUGGCAAGUUCUACAGAAAUGAAUGUUUUUUCGCAAUUGAGAAAUGUACGCAGACAGCAUUACAAACACAGGAAUUGGAGAAAUGUAGCUCAGAGAAAGUGGAUACAACGCCUAUUUCAAAUAUAUUUGGAAAAUGAAAAUAAACAAUUCAAUUAAUACAUAACAACCAUAUUAUUGAAAAGACUUAAAACUCAUUGAGACACAUUCUUUCAUCUACAAAAUGAUUAUUAUGCAAAACCUGUACAUGUAUUUCAAAUCAUAAAGAUUAGUUUG
rnacentral:misc_RNA from 1 species